CAGAAGUUACUUGUGAUAUCCUUCAGAUUAGGGAAAUCCUGAGGUCAGGCAACUAGAUGUCUGAGUUGCAAGGGAAUCCUGGAAUUCCAAAAUUAUUGCGGCUCAAGGACUGCUCUAACAAGAGUUUAUGAGAGACUGUUACAUUCAACAAAUAACCCA